CACAAAUGGAAGGAUUGCAUCUGCAAACUUUCCAGGAGAGCACCAUGGACACGACCAAAGGGGCAGAAGUGUAGCAGUUUGGCAAAGUUACUCCAGUCACUGUUUACUCACAUUUCUCUGGGAGGCCAUGAGCAUGCUACAAAAAGGAAAACCUUAUGAAGUAAAAAGAACGAACUCAACAUCCAGAUGUGGACACAGGAUCCACCAGCACUCCCCUAAGCCAGCAGGGAUCCUUGUAUUGUAAAAAUAGAAUCACAUUUCAGGCUUGAGUCUAUUACAUAGCAGCAGUUCCUGUUGAGAGCAUCUCCCAGCAUCCAGCUCCCUGAUUCCAAAAGAAAAAAAGCCUCUGUGGCACUGAUUAAUGGAAAAGCCUGGAUAUACUGGUGGAUCUGGAAAGCAUCUCGUAAUCUAUGACAGACAAGAUGUUUCUUAUUCUGAAGGGAUUUGAUCAUUGUUUAUGAAAUUAUGUGAGUGACAUAGCAUCACUGUUAUUUUUAUCCUGGCAUUACAGCUAGUCU
rnacentral:lncRNA from 1 species